AACUAACGCUGGCGGCGUGCCUAACACAUGCAAGUCGUACGAGAAAGCCGGCUUCGGCUGGUGAGUAAAGUGGCGCACGGGUGAGUAACGCGUGGAUAAUCUGCCCUUAAGUGUGGAAUAACGUACCGAAAGGUGCGCUAAUACCGCAUAAUGCCUGGCAACACAAGUUGUCCGGCCAAAGAAGGCCUCUGUUUACAAGCUUUCGCUUCAGGAUGAGUCCGCGUACCAUUAGCUUGUUGGUGGGGUAAUGGCCUACCAAGUCAGCGAUCGGUAGCCGGACUGAGAGGUUGAACGGCCACAUUGGGACUGAGACACGGCCCAGACUCCUACGGGAGGCAGCAGUGGGGGAUAUUGCACAAUGGGCGAAAGCCUGAUGCAGCAACGCCGCGUGAGGGAAGACGGUUUUCGGAUUGUAAACCUCUGUCUUCGGUGAAGAAAAAAUGACGGUAGCCGAGGAGGAAGCCACGGCUAACUACGUGCCAGCAGCCGCGGUAACUAGUCUACG
rnacentral:rRNA from 1 species